UCAAGCGACUAAGCGCAUACGGUGGAUGCCUUGGCAGUCAGAGGCGAUGAAGGACGUGUUAAUCUGCGAAAAGCGUAGGUGAGGUGAUAAAACCCGCUAUAACCUACGAUGUCCGAAUGGGGAAACCCGGCCUUAGGGUCAUCUGUAACUGAAUUCAUAGGUUGCAGAAGCAAACGAGGGGAACUGAAACAUCUAAGUACCCUUAGGAAAAGAAAUCAAUUGAGAUUCCCCUAGUAGCGGCGAGCGAACGGGGAACAGCCCUUAAGCUGUAUUGAAUGUAGUGGAAUCCUUUGGGAAGAGGAGCGAUACAAGGUGAUAGCCCUGUACACGACGCAAUCUUUACAGUGAAAUCGAGUAGGUCGGGACACGUGUUAUCUUGACUGAAUAUGGGGGGACCAUCCUCCAAGGCUAAAUACUCCUGACUGACCGAUAGUGAACCAGUACCGUGAGGGAAAGGCGAAAAGAACCCCUGUGAGGGGAGUGAAAUAGAUCCUGAAACCGUGUGCGUACAAGCAGUAG
rnacentral:rRNA from 12 species